rnacentral:rRNA from 1 species
GACGAACGCUGGCGGCGUGCUUAACACAUGCAAGUUGAACGGAAAGGCCCUGCUUUUGUGGGGUGCUCGAGUGGCGAACGGGUGAGUAACACGUGAGUAACCUGCCCUUGACUUUGGGAUAACUUCAGGAAACUGGGGCUAAUACCGGAUAGGAGCUCCUGCUGCAUGGUGGGGGUUGGAAAGUUUCGGCGGUUGGGGAUGGACUCGCGGCUUAUCAGCUUGUUGGUGGGGUAGUGGCUUACCAAGGCUUUGACGGGUAGCCGGCCUGAGAGGGUGACCGGCCACAUUGGGACUGAGAUACGGCCCAGACUCCUACGGGAGGCAGCAGUGGGGAAUAUUGCACAAUGGGCGGAAGCCUGAUGCAGCAACGCCGCGUGCGGGAUGACGGCCUUCGGGUUGUAAACCGCUUUCGCCUGUGACGAAGCGUGGGUGACGGUAAUGGGUAAAGAAGCACCGGCUAACUACGUG